CAGGGUCAGUGCUCAGCUGGAUAUGAGCUGACAGUGUGCCCAGGUGGCCAAGAGGGCCAAUGCCAUCCUGGCCUGCAUUAGAAAUAGUGUAGCCAGCAGGAGCAGGGAUGUAAUCAUCCCCUUGUACUAAGCACUGGUGAGGCCUACUACAAGAAAGACAUUGAGGCCCUGGGACAUGUCCAGAGAAGGGCAACGAAACUGGUGAAGGGUCUGGAGCACAAAUUUUAUGAGGAGCGGCUGAGAGAGCUGGAAUUGUUUAGUCUGGAGGAGGCUCAAGGGAGACCACAAUGCACUCUGCAAGUUCCUGAAGGGAGGUUGUGACGAGGAGGAGGUCAGCCUCUUCUCCCAGGCAACAAACAGGACCCAAGGAAGUGGCUAUGAGUUGUGCCAGGGGAGAUUUAGAUUAGACACAAGGAAAAACUUUUUCUCAGAGUGGUCAGGCACUGGAAUGGCGUGCUCAGGGAGGUGGUGGAGUCACCGUCCCUGGUGGUGUUCAGGAGGUGUCUGGAUGAGGUGCUACACGGUAUGGUUUAGUAGCUUGUGGUAGCAAUGGUGAUAGCAGAAUGGUUGGACUGGAUCUUGUAGGUCUGUUCCAACCUUGUGAUUCUAUGAUUUUGUGGUUCUAUGAUUCAUUCUUCUUUACGUUAAACACUAGCAACAAACCCAAGACCUGGAUUCUCUUCAUCAUUGGUGAUUGGGCUGAGGAAUAAUUUAACAGGGGACCUUACUUUCUGUGAGGUUGCUGUUAUGUUUUGUUAUGUUUUUUUUUUUCCUCUUAUACUUACUUCACAAGCUUUAGUUUCAGUUGCUGCUUAGCUCUCGAUGGUAUUUUCCUAUCACAGAGCUGUUGCUUCAUUCCAGGUUUUCAACAACUGAAAUAUAUCAUGGGAUUUUGUUGUAAUGCAGGAAAUUGCCUUCACAUUAACAGUUUGCCACUUCUAUAAACAAGAAACCCACUGAUGUGACACGUCAGCACUCAACAGGAGAACUCCUGACUACCUUAGUAAACAGGUGCAUUCCUCAUGGAAAACACAGGUUUGGGGCAUGCCCACAUAAUGACACAAUUGGCACUGCAUGAAUAGAGGGCAGGGGCUAGGGUUGUGUUCAGCAUGGUUCGAAGCAGAGGAUAUGCAGUGGACUCCCUCCAAGACUGCUUUGUGGUAGUAAAGUGCAUUUAAAGUUCCCCAAGGUCACAGGGUCUCAUGUGGGAUUUUUUUUUUUUUCUCUCACUUUAGUAACGUAUUAAUAGCUGCAUGUGUGUUGUAGAUGAUAAUAUAGUUUUUCUAGCUAAACCCACUUGCCCCUCACGUAGACUGCUUAUUCUCUGCUGCUAGCAGGGCUGCUUUGAUUACGCAAUGACAGCUGCAUGGAUAUAUGGACUGUGGCGAUGGGCUGGCAGCCACUUCAUUGUCAAUCCCCCUUUGUUCUCCUAGAAAAGAAAAGGCACAAUAGGGAAGGUUUCAUCCACAUGUCAGACACAUGAGGGACAAAAGGAUGAUGGGAACUGACUGAACUACACCAUCCAAGUCACGCUGAAAUACACAGUCUUUCAGCUUUGUUUAGUGAUGGUGUGGUGGCCAGCGAUUGCACUGGUUGCAAUUAGCCAAGGAACAAUUAAGUCAUGGAUAAGGUCUCUUUGCUACCUUGCAUAGGCAAGGAGCAACAAAUCCAUUUCUCUGGGAGCAAUUGCUCUGAGAUUAACUGGAAGUGUUAAUCAGCUAACCCCUCUGAAGGAAAUGGUGGGUCACACCUGCCAGAGUAUAGGGAAUGUCAUGAAACUCAGUAUUUCUAUUAAGACUGCACUUUUAAAUAUUUGGUAGAUGUAUAAGCAUUGUUCCAGGGUCUUUGUUUUAGAUGUGCUACACUUUGAAUAGUGCACAGUAUUUCUUAUGGGCUUUCACUUGUCACAGCCAAAUAUGGGUCAUUUCAAGGCAACCCCCUUCAGACCAUCUCCCCAUCCCGGCUUACACAAGGCUUUCCUAGGAUGCUUCUGUCUAAAAUAACAAUCUAAGGUCACCAUAGAUAAGGGGAAAAGGCACAAAGGGAUAUAUCUGGCUUGGAUUUGUCAGUGUUCUCAUUUUUACUGCACUAUCUCUGUGCACCUGCAAACUCACAGGAAAUAUGAAUAUUAAAUCUAUGGAAAACAAAAUAGAAAAAAAAAUCAGAAUAUAAAAAAUAAUCAGAAAGUGCUGAUUUCUCAAGUGGAAAUUUUUGUGUGGAAGAAGCAAUAGAUAUUGGUUUUGGAUUUUUUUUUUUCUGUAUGAAUCAAACAGAAUUCAAAAUGUAAAGAUUUUGAGUGUUAUCCUAAUUUAGACAGGAAAACAUUUUGACAGUGUGUCAUGGUUUUAUGAUUUUUGGUUAUUGGUAUUCCACAUCAUAACAUCAUGCAGUGUACUGGUAGUCAAAGAGCAAAUGCUCUAGUUAUGGGUACUUGUCCAGAAGAGAAGAAGAACUACGUUCCCCAGAAGACUGUUCGAGUACUGUUAUCAUUCCUGUUCUGGGGAACAGAUAUAAGACCUGUAGGUCACCUGACCUGGGUCUUCUCUUCUUCUCAUCUCAUUGUGCUCGCUUUUGGAUCGUCUUGCUGCUGCUCCCGACUGCACACAAGGCUUCAGUAUUAGUGUAAGGCCUUUAGCUCUCGGACAAUCCUUCUCUCAAUUAUAUUUGAUUUUAUUAGCAAUGAUAUUAAAUUAUAUUGUAUUACAGUGUGUUAUCAUGCAUUCUGAUACUAUAUUUAGUAAAUUAGUUUGUUUCUCCUCAGAUCGUUGCC
ensembl:lncRNA